UACGGAGGAGGCAAGCGUUAUCCGGAAUUAUUGGGCGUAAAGCGCACGUAGGCGGACCGGAAAGCCAGAUGUGAAAUCCCCGGGCUUAACCUGGGAAUGGCAUUUGGGACUGUAAGGCUAGAGUAUGGCAGAGGAGACUAGAAUUCCUGGUGUAGCAGUGAAAUGCGUAGAUAUCAGGAGGAAUACCGAUGGCGAAGGCAGGUCUCUGGGUCAAUACUGACGCUCAUGCACGAAAGCGUGGGGAGCAAACAGG
rnacentral:rRNA from 1 species